AUCUUAAGUUGUGUAGCUUCACAAUAUUCACAGCAGUCUUUAGUGAGCAUGAUUUUGCCUAGACUUGUGUAAGAAUGUGGCUGUUGGCGUGUGUGAAAGUGUGUAUCUUUGAUUAUAUUAUAUGUGUAUGUGUUAUGACAUAUUUUGUGUAUUUUUAAAUGUGUCAUAUCUGUAUUGGCUUGCUUGCCUGAGGUGGGAGUUUUUGCGCAGGCGUGCUCAGAAUUCACCAGUGAACCUCAUCACUACAGCAUCUCUGGGGAAAUGGGUGGAUCAGGUUUCUCUAUAGGGAUGGCAAAAUGGACCUGGAGAAAAGUUGCUGUACAUUUUAAGCACAUAUUAAGUCAUCAGGUUAAAUCCUAUGAACUGGCUCUAUGCCUCUGUUUGCAGAAGGACGGCCAGUUAUGGUAAAACUGUGUCAUUUCUGACACUGCAAGAUUUCAUGCAAAUAUGCCCACGCAUAACCUCACGCCUUGGCAGGAAUCUUCAGGGAUAGCUGCAUUAGCUUGCUCCUGUCAUUACACAAGGGCUUGAGCCUGGGACCAUGGACUGAUCUGGAACGUUUGUUUGCUCAGAGCUUGCUUUAGAUACAGAGGGAUACACAACACCAGAACCCAUGAUUGGCAGGCAGUAUAUAAAGAUUAUUGAUCAGCCAGGCAUGGUACAAGUACAGGAAGCCUGGUCUUCUGCCCUUGCCCAGUCAAGAGAAGUAUAUUUUACCUGCUACAUUUCAGCCCAAUUCCAGCUGUUGACAUCAGGGCCCUGGGUUGGAGGACACACUCUCUGGGUCUGGAUUGAGGUAUAGCUGUGCAGAAGCUUCAGCCUGGCUCUACACUAACAAAUGGUAUGCAGUAUUAUAUUGAGCAAGAGCAAAUAAUGAAACCCAACUCCAUUGGGGAAACGUGAGUAGAUUAAUGGACCCUUGUGGUGGCAGGAGAGGAAGGGGGACUGCUGUAGUUGACGAACACAAGAAAGCAUGUGCUAAUGGCAGUUUUUUUCUUUAGCAUUAAGAGAGGUUUCUCCCAUCUCCACAUUUUCUCUGCUAUCCUAAUUCCUCUAUAAUGCUGGGGUUUGUGAAAAUCUGAGCAUUCCCCUAUGUGAGUCGGUUGAGACCUUACUUUUCAGGGCUAGCCUACAUAAACGGUUGUGGACAAUGAGCAGCAUGCUUGCAUACUAAGCAUUAAUAUGAGAGGAGCUGCUUAAGGAUAAUAGCAGCAGUGACUUCAAGGGGGACGGGAGGAAUGACUGUUCAAUGGGUCCAGCUCACUGAAGUUGCUCCAGUAACAUGAAUGCAAUUGAGAAAAGAGGAUUAUAAAUCUUAUAAAUUGUUAUAAGGGAAAAACCCCCUGCUCUUUUCCCCUUAUAAGGUAUCCAAGAGCCCUCUUUUUAGGUUCUCUGUCAGUAGGAGAAAAUAACAGAGGCCAGCCAGAGAAUAUUGAGAAGCAAGGCAGCUAGUAAGCCUGGUCUUUAUUAAACUGUUGCAACAGGAUGCUCACCCCCCCCCCCCCAUGCAGGAGGGAGGAGGAACCCAGAACACUGGUGUUCAAGUCCUUAUAUAAACUUUUUAAAUACCCCAGCUUCAAACUCCAGACCACCCCCAGAAACAUCACAGAAGGGGUGGUCUAAAACAGAAUCCUGAGUGUGUUGUUUAUCUCCUGUCUGGCAAGUUACCUGGAUUGCAUUAUCUGGGUUUUGGCCGCUCUUUUGUUAUUAUUACUACUUAAUUCCUGAAUCUAGGUCACAGGACACGGGCUCACACCCUGUUCAUAUCUUGAAUGUGCCCUUAAGACAGGAUUUGUGAGGAAAGACAAUGGGGAAGUUUCCCACUUUGACCUUGAAGAGAAAUAUUUGAGGUCAGUUUGUUCAGGACCUUUUCUGUGGGGUUCAGACAUGUGGUUUAUAUAUACAGUUAGGAACAUUUUAUAUAUAUAUAUAUAUGACCUUAAAUUUCUUAUAACAAAAUCAACCUGGGCCAGUUCUAUCCCCUGGUGGCAAAUUGAACUAAAAUAAAUGAUUGCUUAAUAGGGGGCUGAGCACACAUUAGGGUUCUUGCGGGACACUUCUCCUGGGGUCAUGUCAGAGCUGAGCCUGCAAUGAUAGCCUUGGGGUUACAUUCUGCUAACCAUGCUUACUGAGCUUUGGCUCCGAAGUGAUCCUUGUGGGUGCUUGUUAGGCUGAAAGAAAGAGAAUGGGAGGCUGCCUGCUUCUCACCCAUUUAACACAGCUCAAUCUCCCUUCCUCAGCAUACUCAUGGCCACUGGCAGCAAAGGAACUUUCAUGGCCCCCCACCAGCUAGGGCCAAGUCUCCCUGAGUAAUUGAAACCCACCAGUGCCUCGCCUUAUGGAUCCAUCCCCUCCAUGGUGCUGUCAGAAACAGCUCACUUUGCUAUCCUGCAUGGUGGGGCUGAACAGCACUUGUGUACAGACCUCUGCUGCCAGGGAUGUCCUACACAUUUCAGGAAAUUGCAUGUGCUCCCUUCUUGGCUGCGCACGCUGUGUGUGUGUGUGUGUGUGUGUGUGAGAGAGAGAGAGAGAGAGAGAGAGAGAUUUGAUUCUUCACUAUUUUUAGGUAAGGGCAGGGGUCUCUCUACUGAAGAUGACGCUUUCCUUUCUUGCCUCUUCCUAAAGUUUGUGCCUCAUUCCCCUCAGUCAUAUGCACAUGGACAAACAUUGAAAAUAAGAUACAAAUAGCUGGGGCAAGUUGCAGUACAGUGGUACCUUGGGUUAAGAACUUAAUUUGUUCUAGAGGUCUGUUGUUAACCUGAAACUGUCCUUAACCUGAAGCACCACUUUAGCUAAUGGGGACUCCCGCUGCCUCCGUGCCGCUGCUGCAUGAUUUCUGUUCUCAUCCUGAAGCAAAGUUCUUAACCCGAGGUAAUAUUUCUGGGUUAGUGGAGUCUGUAACCUGAAGCGUAUGUAACCCGAGGUACCACUAUACUUUCUCUCUCAAGUUGCAUCUAAAUCAGCCCUUUUCUCAUUUUUCACUUUUAUCACUCAUUGUUCAGGUAUAAUAAUCUUUGUGCACAUCUCAUGAAAAAGAGCUUCCUAUUUCUAGGCUGUAGAAACUCAAGUUUUGUUACCAACAGCCAAAUGGUUAGUUGUGAUAGCAAAGAUGUUGGCUGUCAAAAGCUGUUACUGGUUUGGGUUUUUUUUGCCAGUACCGUACUGUGCCAUCACCCAAUGAAUGAGACACGGGUAUAACAGCCAUGUGAUUAUACAGGAUGCAGCUUUUACAUUAAAAUAACUUACAGGAUACAGAGUUGAGUGGAAAUCUCUACCACAUACAGGACCCAUUUAAUAAUUCCUUAAGAUACAUCCUUGGGAAGAAAGAGAGCAAUUUUGGCUUUUGCACCUAUGCUAUAAUAGGGAACAAAAAUAUUCUGACAUAGAAAUACAUGGAUGGUCAUUAAUAAUUUUUUAUUCAUUUAUAUAAAAAAUACAAAUAGACCACCCAUUAUACAAAAUAUCAGGGUGGCAUGCAACAAAAUUUAC